ACGUGACGAAUGGCGAGUGCAGCUGGAGCCGCGCUAGAGCCGAAAACUCAGGAGCAUGGCUCGGGAUGGAAGUGUUUCUCGGGAGAACGAAGUCUAUCUGUGGUCUAUCCAUCUAUGAAUGUCUGUGUUCUUUCGGUGAACUGUUGGAGGCGGCGUCGGCUGAAAUAUCGAUGCCGUAUCGAGGCGUUCUACGGACCAACCUGGAGGCCUAAAAAGCUCUAUAUUAUGGAGGCUGCCCGUAUACACCACCACCAUAUAUCGAAGGAUCAUCAAUUAGCCACUGUCGAGGUAUUGUGCGGACACACCAGAGGAAGUUUUGUCUGGUCUUUCGGAUAUUUGCCAGAGCGUUAAACGUAAGUUUGUAGAGAAACUGCUUCAGGAUGCUGUUGAGAGCUUCAGUACUACGUCGUGUGGACCAAGCAGUCCGGAUACUACGUACCAUGUCACAAGCAAAGCAGUACUGCAGUGCUGAUAAAAAAGACACCACUGGCAUUGAAUCCAGUGGCAAAGAUGCCGGUGGGGUUUUGGUGGACAGCUUCGGUAGAAAACACACCUAUCUACGCAUUUCUUUGACGGAAAAAUGCAGCCUUAGGUGUGUCUACUGCAUGCCAGAGGAAGGCGUACCAUUGACUCCAAAAGAAAAACUGCUCACUGCUGAUGAAAUAGUGCAGUUAGCAAGUCUCUUUGCUGCUUUUGGUGUGAACAAAAUUCGUCUUACUGGUGGAGAGCCUCUUGUGCGAAAGGAUGCUGUCAGUAUCAUUGAGAGCCUGGCAAAAAUUCCACAGCUUAAUGCGCUGGGCAUGACAACAAAUGGGUUGGUAUUGUCGAAAAAGAUUGCCGACUUGAGGAAUGCGGGUUUGACGCACUUGAACAUAAGCCUUGACACCCUAGUACCUGAGAAAUUUGAAUUCCUGGCAAGGCGCAAAGGCUGGCACGUGGUGAGAAAAGGCAUUGAUGAUGCACUGGCAGCUGGCUUUGACUCCGUUAAGGUAAACUGUGUAGCGAUGAAGGGAAUCAAUGAAGAUGAAUUGGUCAACUUUGUGAAGCUCACGGAAUCUAAUAAUCUUGAAGUGCGAUUUAUUGAGUACAUGCCCUUCGAUGGGAACAAGUGGAGCAGGCAGAAGCUUGUCCCUUUUGAGCGCAUGCUGUCGAUCAUCAAGAAGGAGUUGCCAACGCUGGAGCGGCAAGAAGACGGACCAAAUCAUACCUCAAAGAUAUUCAAAGUACCUGGUUGGACUGGAAAAGUUGGUUUUAUAACUUCUAUGACUGAACAUUUUUGUGGAACUUGCAACCGUAUUCGGAUUACAGCUGAUGGGAACCUCAAGGUUUGCCUGUUUGGUGGUCACGAGGUUUCCUUGAGGGAUGCUCUAAGAGGCAACGCUUCAUCGGACGAGCUCCUGAGCCUUAUUGGAAGCGCUGUGCAGAGGAAGAAGUUCAGCCACGCUGGCAUGGACAAGCUGUCGACGAUGAAGAACAGACCCAUGAUACUUAUCGGUGGAUAGAGUGCUCUUUUUACUUGCAUUCUUCUCCAGGUACCUUUUAAUGCAGAUAGAUAAUAUAUUUUAUUGAUAUACUUGAGUUAAUAAACAUUGUUACCGAAAACUUUCAC
rnacentral:misc_RNA from 1 species